rnacentral:rRNA from 1 species
GACGAACGCUGGCGGCGUGCCUAAUACAUGCAAGUAGAACGCACAGUUUCUACCGUAGCUUGCUACACCAUAAACUGUGAAUUACGAAGGGGUGAGUCACGCGUAGGUAACCUGCCUGGUGGCGGGGAAUGACUAUUGGACACGAUAGCUACUACCGCGUCAUCUUGUUUAUUGCAUGGUUAUUUAUUGAAAGGUGCUAUUGCAUCGAUACCAGAUGUACCUGCGUUGUAUUUGCGAGUAGGUGAGGUAACGGCUCACCUAGGCGGCGAUGCAUAGCCGACCUGAGAGGGUGUACGGCCACACUGGGACUGAGACACGGCCCAGACUCCUACGGGAGGCAGCAGUAGGGAAUCUUCGGCAAUGGGCGAAAGUCUGACCGAGCAACGCCGCGUGAGUGAAGAAGGUCUUCGGAUCGGAAAGCUCUGUUGUAAGAGAAGAACGGGUGUGAGAGUGGAAAGUUCACACUGUGACGGUAUCUUACCAGAAAGGGACGGCUAACUACGUG